UGGGGAAUAUUGGACAAUGGGCGCAAGCCUGAUCCAGCCAUGCCGCGUGAGUGAUGAAGGCCCUAGGGUUGUAAAGCUCUUUCACCGGUGAAGAUAAUGACGGUAACCGGAGAAGAAGCCCCGGCUAACUUCGUGCCAGCAGCCGCGGUAAUACGAAGGGGGCUAGCGUUGUUCGGAUUUACUGGGCGUAAAGCGUACGUAGGCGAACUAUUAAGUCAGGGGGGAAAUCCCGGGGCUCAACCCCGGAACUGCCUUUGAUACUGGUAGUCUUGAGUUCGAGAGAGGUGAGUGGAAUUCCGAGUGUAGAGGUGAAAUUCGUAGAUAUUCGGGGGAACACCAGGGGCGAAGGCGGCUCACUGGCUCGAUACUGACGCUGAGGUGCGAAAGCGUGGGGAGCAAACAGG
rnacentral:rRNA from 1 species